rnacentral:lncRNA from 1 species
UUUUUGUGUCGACAGAAAUGGUUUAUAUAUCCUCACGGCCAGUUUCUAGUUAUCGUAACUUUCUAAAAAAGAUGUUUUAAUUACUAAUCUUACGUACGUGUAGUGAAAUUUCUUGUAUAUUAUAAUAUUAUGCAAAAAGGGAAAAUUGGAUUUCAACAAAAAAAAAAAAAAGGGAAAAUAGGAAAUUGAUCGUUGUGGCUGUGGAUAUUUGUAAUUUUUAAAAAUAUAUAUCACAU